UACGGGGGGGGCAAGCGUUGUUCGGAAUUACUGGGCGUAAAGGGCUCGUAGGUGGCCAACUAAGUCAUACGUGAAAUCCCUCGGCUUAACCGGGGAACUGCGUCUGAUACUGUUUGGCUUGAGUUUGGGAGAGGGAUGCGGAAUUCCAGGUGUAGCGGUGAAAUGCGCAGAUAUCAGGAGGAACACCGGUGGCGAAGGCGGGUCUCUGGGCCGAUACUGACGCUGAGGAGCGAAAGCGUGGGGAGCAAACAGG
rnacentral:rRNA from 1 species